UACAGAGGGUGCGAGCGUUAAUCGGAAUUACUGGGCGUAAAGCGCGCGUAGGCGGCUUGUUAAGUCAAAUGUGAAAUCCCCGAGCUUAACUUGGGCAUUGCAUUCGAUACUGGCAAGCUGGAGUAUGGGAGAGGAAGGUAGAAUUCCAGGUGUAGCGGUGAAAUGCGUAGAGAUCUGGAGGAAUACCGAUGGCGAAGGCAGCCUUCUGGCCUAAUACUGACGCUGAGGUGCGAAAGCAUGGGGAGCAAACAGG
rnacentral:rRNA from 1 species